UGAAGAUGGAUGCACUAGAAGAGGGUCCUCCUGUGUUAGGGCGCAUAUCUGGCUUUCUCUGGUUGGUCCUAAAUUGCUCUGACUGGGAGUGACAGAAGCCAGCCUCUAACUUCGCUGACCUACUUCCCGGCUGCCUCUCCAGCCAGCACCCCACGCAGCAUCCAUUUUAACCAGCUUUUCAAGGUCGGGACUCUUCAAUGCAGAGGCUGGCUUUUGCUUGACACAAAGCCAGGACUUUCAUCCACUGUGCAUUGGGGAAAAGGAAAAUACCAAGCUCUUUUCAGUGCACCAUUGUGAGAUGGGAGAACACU